UACGAAGGGGGCUAGCGUUGCUCGGAAUUACUGGGCGUAAAGCGCACGUAGGCGGCUUUUAAGUCGGGGGUGAAAUCCUGGAGCUCAACUCCAGAACUGCCUUCGAUACUGGGAGCUCGAGUCCGGGAGAGGUGAGUGGAACUGCGAGUGUAGAGGUGAAAUUCGUAGAUAUUCGACAAGAACACCAGUGGCGAAGGCGGCUCACUGGCCCGGUACUGACGCUGAGGUGCGAAAGCGUGGGGAGCAAACAGG
rnacentral:rRNA from 1 species